rnacentral:rRNA from 1 species
AUGUCACUUGCGUGCGUGCUAGGUCGAUUCCAUGGCGGAUUCGAGAAGGCGCAUCGCCUCGACCCGCUCUCCAAUGGCCGUGGUGUCCAGCAGUUCAAGAUUGCGCUCCUGCAGAGGCUCGAAAGGGAAAACGACCCCACCUUGAAGGGAAGGGUUGAACAGAGCGAUGUUGUCGAAAUAAAGAAUCUCUACCAGCAAUACUACAAGAUGUACAUCCAGGCGCUCCAGAAUGCUGCAGAUAAAGCUGAACGUGAUCAGCUCACAAAGGCUUACCAGACUGCAGUUGUGUUGUUUGAGGUCCUCAAGGCAGUUAAUCAGACGAUUCCCAAAACACACAACCACGUCGAUCCUGAUAGUUCUAUCAUGCGAUGUCCCAAGAUCCAUGCCGCUUAUCACGCCCUUCGUGACACCAGGGGUCUACCAUGGCCUAACGACCAUGAAAAGAAAGAAGAUGCAGAUCUUCUUGACUGGCUUCACGCAAUGUUUGGGUUUCAGCAUACAUAUGAACAACACCCAAACAUGAACAAAGGUAUACCACCCAAACAUGAACAACACCCAAAGUUAGAGGACCAUGUGUUGGAUACAACACUGAACAAGCUAUUCAAGAACUACAAGAGAUGGUGCAAGCACCUUGGCCGCAUAACCAGCUUAUGGCUGCCGACAAUUCAACCAGAAGUACAACAGCGUAAGCUUCUCUAUAUGGCCCUUUAUCUGCUCAUAUGGGGCAAGGCGGCUAACUUGCGGUUUAUGCCAGAGUGUCUUUGCUACCUCUAUCAUCAUGCUGUUUCUGUUGGUUGGUUGACUGCCAUAGUUGACCGCCAAUUGUUUGGCAAGCCAAUACCUUUUGCACACUCUAGUUCACUUUUCUUGCCAACAUUAUUCAACUCAUGA